AACCAAAUAUGUCAACAAAGAAAAACAAAAUGAUAUAUAAAUAAAGCACAUAAGCGAAAAUGAAAAAUAAGAAUACAAAAAAAAAAAAUACUAUAAAGUAUAUUUCGCCUUUUUACUAUCGACAAUUUUUGCGUUAUGACUUAUCUCUAAUGCUAGCUCAUUUAGUUGACGACUUUUUCAGUCAGCUUGCCGAGUCAUUGGAGGAGAGCUUGUCAGCUGUUCAGAUGGAUUUACUUUUACAGAAUAUCUAUAACAAAAAGAUGCAAAAUCCAGAAUAGAAUUAGGUAAUAUUGUAUAUUGCUUUCAAAUUGUUUCACACAGAAAUUGAAGGAUAAAUAAGUAUCUCAGGACAGUAAAACAAGAUGAUAAAUUUAUUUUUCAGCCAUUUAUGCAUUGCUGGUAUUGACAAAGUGCCAUGAUUUAAGAUGAAGACUUUAUGGGAAGACAUUAUCUGAUAUUAAGGUAGUAAAACAUGUUUUCCAUCAGUCCAGGAUCCUAUGGUCAAUCAGGUCUCCGGUGGAGGUGUUGGUAUGUUUGCCAUAUCUAUCUGUAUACCUGAAAAAAAAUAAAAUCAAUUAAAUGAGAUAUCCGGGUAUAGGUCAAUAGAACUUAUUAAUAUUUGGCCAACAGACCUGCACUGCAAGACCAGAGAAGGGAUACUAGACAGAGAAUUCGUGACAAUUGAAUUUUUGAUGUCAUACAACAAUCAUUUUUUAUGUGACAUCAAAAUUUUUUCUCUUGUGAAGUCAAAUUUUUACAGGAAAGUCAGUGUUCUAGUAAUGACAAAUAUGAAUAACGUCUUUGAGACAACAAUUAAACAACACAAAAAUAGAAGACAUGAAAUGAUACCAGUAGGAGGUACUUACACGAAAGGAUGGUGAGUAUUGAUUCUUGUUCUCUACGCAGAUACUUGCAUGACAGGAUGGUGAGUAUGGAUUCUUGUUCUCUACAGAAACCAGUAGAAGGUACUUACAUGACAGGAUGGUAAGUAUGGAUUCUUGUUCUCUACACAGAUACCAGUAGAAGGUACUUACAUGACAGGAUGGUGAGUAUGGAUUUUUGUUCUCUACACAGAUACCAGUAGAAGGUACUAACAUGACAGGAUGGAAAGUAUGGAUUUUUGUUCUCUACACAGAUACCAGUAGAAGGUACUUACAUGACAGUUGGAGAGUAUGGAUUUUUGUUCUCUACACAGAUACCAGUAGAAGGUACUUACAUGACAGGAUGGUGAGUAUGGAAUUUUGUUUUUUAACAC